rnacentral:lncRNA from 1 species
UUCCAGCAGCACAAAUAAAAACCACAGCAUGUCAUUGUAGGUUAAGUUAAUACUACAGGGUUGAACUGCUAUCAAAGCCAACUCACACUCUCUAAGGUAACCGAAGGUUUCACCGAUAUAUGAUCACUAGAAUGUUCCAGCGAAACAAGAUAUAGGAAAGAAAAAGAAAAACAUGUAGUAAUCUAAUGGCAAUUUCCAAUCAAUCAUAACUCUUGGAGUAGUCAAACAUAGGUUGGCACCAAUGUGGUUUGUCACAUGUUCCACGCAUGAACAGCCUGCUCUCUGAGAGUUCAUGGGUGAUGAGAUGGUCGAGAUCGUCCAUGCCGUGUACAGACUCCGCCAUUGGAGUCAAACUUAGGUCGGCGAUAACACAGUCUGUCACAUGUUCCAUGAAAAUCCAGUCUGCUUGGGAUAGUUCUUCAGGCCCUCUGCAGAUGAACAGGCAAAAUAUUAAACAUUUAAAGUUUGACUUGGCAAAAUAUUAACCAAAGGAUAAACAGAUCAUCUGGACAAAGCAGGGUUGCUAUGGCAUAACUACAAUAAAGCUACAUUUUUAGAACCACAGAAAUAAAAAAGACGGUGGGGAUUGUGGAGAGAUGGGCCCACUUGUCAGCAAGUGAGUUUGAAAGAAGGUGCUAUGGUAAACAUGAGGACUGCAAUGAAUUAUGGUCUACAAUUUAAUCAGCUUUGGUGUUCUGCAUCUGAAGACUGAAGCUAUCUGUAACUUCAGUUUCAGUGCAUAGAUCAGCAAAUGGAUGAUAAACAAAAUAACAACCAGAGGGGGAUUGGUUGUUACACACCCCAAUUGCCAAUGAUCAGCAAUAUACACAACUUAACUAGAAAAUGCCAGGAAUCAAAGCACACUGUGUAUAUGUAGUAAACAGCUAAAAGAACCAUGUGCAGCCUUUGAACCAAGUGUUAAUCCCCAGUGCAUGUAGCUCCCGCUUGCGCAGGGUCUGGGGAAGGGUCCGACCACUUUGGGUCUAUUGUACGCAGCCUUUCCCUACAUUUCUGUAAGAGGCUGUUUCCAGGACUUGAACCCGUGACCUCAUGGUCACAAGGCAGCAGCUUUACCACUGCGCUAAGCUUUGAACCAAGUGUUAAUCAAACAGAAAAAAAAAUAUGGGUAGUUGCUCCUUUUUUUAUAUGAAAAACAAAUGAGAUGAGAGGUUUCAUCAAAUAUCUACUACUGCAUUUGCAUUCUUAACUGUAGAUACCGAAUUGUCAGUAUUGCGAAAUGCCAGAAUGUUUGAAAACUUAAUUAGCAAAAAUAAAAUAUCUAGUGAUGUCUGCACUGAGUGUAACAAGUAUCCAGACUGUCCCAAGAACAUCACAAUGGAUCAAAUCAAUAUAAUACCAAUACUCAGGAAUGCUCAAGUAAACCAGAGCAUGGUAAAGGAAUAACAAGAAGAUGCAAAACUCAGGAAGAAAGAUAUGAUUCUAGCAAAGAAAGGGUGACACCAUAAAGAAAAUCUUAGUAUCACAGAAUUUACUGUUACAUCCUUCAGAAGACUAGGUGUGGGUGAUUCUAUCAGACUUCAAAAUCAGUGGUGCCUGCAAUUUCAUGUAUGACCUUGCUUAUGGAACUCGUUUCAACUCUUCACUAACAUGAACAUCUGGGCAUUCGUGCAACAACAGGAGAAGGUCCUUUGUAAUUGUUUGGAGCUUGCUCUCCUCUGGUCGAAGAUUAUUCUUAAGAGUACUCUCGUGAAACAACUGCAGAGCACCCUGUCCUGAAAUUUCUUGCACGAAGUUGUGCAAAUCUUCAAGUUUUCCUCUACGCUGGGCGUCGAGCAGCCACUUUUCUUUAAGACUGUCGGAAAGACUAGCAAAUGCACUGCUUGAAGGACAACAAAACGAAAAUAUAAUAAAUGAGAAUGACACAAGAGGAACUUUAUACGAGAAAACUGUUAUUCACGCAACCAGAAAUGCAAUUUACCUAGUAAUCCCCCGAACAAGACCCCACUUGUAUCCAACAUCCGCAGACUGCCUAUGCCCAAGGUUGAACCCCUCUUGGGCAGCAUCCUUCUGCCCUUCUGUUAUACCAUCCCUAUAGCCCAUCUACAAAGAAACCAAAAGCCUUACUUUCAAACUUUUUGGACAUCACACAAAUUCAUGAUUCAUGACAUCACACAAACUCUGUAUCAAAUUGAAGUCAAAAUAUUCACGUACCUUAUGAAACUGGUCCUGCCUGUGGGUCCAUUCUCUGUGUAAGCUGGAAUCAUGUCCUGUAGAAUCUGAAGCAUCACACCAGGAGUCAUCAUCUGCAGCAGCAGCAUCUUCACCAUUGCCUGAAUCAAAAUUGGUGGAAAACAAUUAGCUGUGAUGAUAUGGAAUGCUAUUUUUUUUUUGUUCAAACAGAAGCUACAUUGUUAGAAACUGUAUCCAAGUAACAUACAUGGCAACAAAAGACAGACAGAAGGUUGCAAAAUCUAGUGAUACUGCAUCAGAACAAGGCUAGGGCACUAUACCACAGAAAAAGACGGUGGAGAUCGUGGAGAGAUGGGCCCACUCAUCGGCAAAGGACUUUAAAGGGACGGAGGUGGUGUUACGGUAAACAUGAGGGAUUAUGGCCUACAAUUUAAUUGGCUCUGGUGUACUCAAUCUGCAGCUUCUGCGGCUAUCUGUAACUUUAGUUCAACGCAUAGAUCAGCAAAUGGAUGACAAACAAAAUAACCAUGAGAGGGGGCACCGGUUAUUUCACACCGCAAUUUACCCAGGAUCAGCAAUGCCCGCUAGAUUUAUGUCAUGUACUCCAAUACACACAACCUAACUAGAAAAUGCCAGGAAUCAAAUUGGAUAGGAAUUGAAACAGGAUGCACGCGCACGCGCACUGGCCGAAGCCUAAGAACUCCUACCUGGUUCUGUUAGAAACUUGUGAGUGAUAUACUAUACUUAUCAUGUCGUCGUGAAGAACAGACCUCCCCUCCCAGGAGAUAUUCUGCAUAUGCGAUCAGCAGAUAAAAUUAUCAUCAUUCGGCCCUCAUGUGUAACAUCCAGAAAUCCACAAAUGCUCCUGGGCCCCUGUAACACAACUAGCCCCCCGUACGCACAUAUCCUAUCCUAUACCUCUACCGUACACACUACUAUGUGUAGUUGCUCUGUUAUCUGUUCUAGGCUGUGGCUGUCAAACAAAAAUAGCUUCCUGAAAAAGAAAAUUUUGAACCCCUCCUAUAUACCUCUACCGUACACACUACUCGUACUCUCUACUCUCUACUGCUGCUCUACUUGGUGAUAGCCUCGCCAACGUCGAGCUUCACAAAACGGCGGAAACGCCGGUAAACUGGCGAUAUGGGACUAAACAUGUACCAGCCGCAGCACGGCAUCCUCCUACCACAGUGCACGGUCGACGCCGGCGCCUCCCGUCGCUCCGCAGGUCGCGCGUGGCCACCGAGGGGAUCCAGUACGGCGGCCUCCAUCCCCCUCGUCGUCUCCUGUCCCCGGCGACCUCCGCUGCCGUAUCCCGCUCCAGCUGCCGGCUUCACCGCAAUGGAUCGGCGAGUGAACCGCGGCUUGGAGGGGGCCGACUGGUGGAGCCGGAUUCCGGCGGGGUGGCCGGCGCUGUGUCAGAUUUGGGGGUCGAGUAAGAAGAGGACGAGGCAGCUCGCGUCUUUUUUUUUUCUUUUCUUUUUUUACUUUUUGAGGCAGCUCGCAUCUGUAUCUCCUGGCCUGGCUACUGGGAGCCCAUGUCCAUGUGCGCCUAUUGCGGGCCUUGCUGGACACGGCCGGGUAAAUUCAGGCCCAACAAGCUGUGACCUCUCUGUAUUUCUUCAAUCAAAGGAUAAAACAAAUAUUGCUCUUUUCUCAUAAUAACUUGGGGGCCGCUACGCGUCGGCCGGCGGGUUUUUUCAAAAGAUCCGCCGCCUCGCGAGUCGCACAAUUCAGUGGCUCAACGUCUCCCACUACUUCACAACAAAGGUUUUGUUGCAGAAACAUUUGCAACAAAGGUAAAGUUGCAGAAUAUUUUUUUUGCAAAUAGGUUGUGUUGCGGGAUUUAUUUUUUUGCAACAGAGUUCUUGCCGUAGAUUGUUUUCCAACAGAGAUUUGGUUGCAGUUUUUCUUUUUUUACAACAGAGCUGAUGUUGCAUAGCUUGUCUAAGUUGUAGUGGUCGUCUGCCGCUAUGAUUUGCAACACCGCUGCUGUUGCAAGAAAAGGUAAAGGGCACAUGAUAGGCAAGGGAAAUAACGGACUGUGUGCUAGCGUGCGUGACAACGCAUGGAUCAAAGCAUUUCCCUAGUAACUUUGCUUCUUCUCGUUUUUUGCAAGAAACCCAUAGUUUUGUGUGCAUGUGCGUGUGUGUUUCUGCCGGUGCAUGGUAGAUACGUGCUAUUUUGUGAAUUCGCGGCUUUUGAUUUUGACAUUUUCUGUUACACAUGAUUUUUGUGACAUAGACGCGAGCUUUUCUCCUUCUUGCAAAAUAAAGGAGAAACAACUGAUUGUGAAAUGGAUAACCAACUACAGUCAAGUAAUAACGGAAAUCGCAUCAUAAGGGUUCAAACAUAAUAUAUUUUUCAUGUUGACAGCGACCUAUAACAUCAUAUAUAACUAUAAUUCAUUCACAGUAAACUUCACAAACGAUUAUUUCACAUGCUUUUUUUUCAUUUGUGAAACAGACCUGUCCUUUCUGCUAAAUAUGAAGUCUUUUGUGCUUCCUCCUAGCAUGCCAUAUCACAAAUCACAAAAGAAGAAGAAAAAAAAGCAAUAAAGUCUUCCAUUUUCAAAGAAGAGAAUGGGCAGAAGAAGAAACACAUCAGCUUUUAGUUGGAAAAAAAUAUACUGUCCUCACUGUGAUAUUUGGCAUGCACAAGUUGUCCUGAUGCUUCACAAGCUUAUAAUAUUAUCAAGGUUUUCAUGCCAUGGUCAUGAGUAUGCCUGCUACUACUGUAGUAGUGUAGUUCUGCAAUACUAGUUGCUACACCUCUCAUGGAUAUAUGAUGGGUUUAAGAACAGAUGGCAGGCCAAACACUGGUAAGAAGAUAACACUGGCACAAAUGACAACCACAGCAUGUCAUUCCAUACUAGUUAAUAACACUGGGUUGCACUGCUAUCCAAACCAACUCACUCUCACAUAACUGAAGGUUCACCAAUCUAUGAUCACCAGAGACUGUUCCAGGCAGCGAAAAAGAGCUCGAAAAAAGAAGAAAAACUUUUAAUAAUCUACCGCGAUAUCACCAUCAAGCACAGCUCUCAGAGUAGCGAGACUCUAGUUGACAAUGAUGUCAGAUGUUCCACGAGAAGCCGCCGUCUCCCGGCUGCUCCCCCAUGAACAGCCCGCUCUCCACGAGUUCGUGGGAGAUGAGAUGUUCCAGGUCGUCCAUGUCGUGCACAGACUCCGCCUUUGGGGUCGCCGCCGCAUUGCCGCCAGAAGCGGCCGGGUUGCUGCUCACUGACUUGAAACUGCUGCUUCGCUGGACCAUGCCAGCUCCGCUGUUGAUCAGAUUACUAGGCCCCGUCAUACCCAUCGGAGCGGCACCCUUUGCUGUGCCGUUAUUCAUGUGCUGUGCCUGCUCUGCGCUAGCAGCGCUGUUGGUGACCGCGGCUCCGGAUGUGAGACCACCAUUUGCAUUGGGAGUGCUAGGAGACUGCUGCUGCGGCUGCGGCUGUUGAUGUUGCUGCUGCUGCGGCUGUUGAUGUUGCUGCUGCUGCGGCUGUUGAUGUUGCUGCUGCUGCGGCUGUUGAUGUUGCUGCUGCUGCGGCUGCUGCUGUUGCUGUUGUUGCUGCUGCUGCUGAUGGUGUUGCUGCUGCUGCUGAUGGUGUUGCUGCUGCUGCUGCUGAUGAUGAUGAUGAGCAAGAGCGCGACUAUUGGUAUUCUUGGCUUCUUGCAGCAGCUGAUUGAUCACAUGCUGCUGGAAUUGUGGACUAGCACCCAGGCCUUGGAAACUGUUAUGCUGGUGCUGGGGCAUACCUUGCUGGAAUGACAUGGGAUGCUGGAAUUGCCCAAGCUGAGACGCACGGAACGAUCUAGAUGCUUCCAGCUGAAUGCCACUGUGCACUGCUGUAGGACCUUUGAAGAUACUCGAUGCCUCCUGCUGAAGCAAACUUUGAUUUGGGCUCGAGCCUCUAAGCAUAUUCUGGUAAUUAUUUAGCGCAGCAGCAUUCUGAGAUGCCUCCUGCUGGAGCAAACCCUGAUUUGCGCUUGAGCUUCUGAACAUAUUCUGGUAACUGUUCAUUGCCGCAGCAUUCUGUGAUGCCUCCUGCUGCAGCAAACCCUGAUUUGCACUUGAGCUUCUCAGCAUAUGUUGGUAAUUGCUUUGUGCUGCAGGAUUCUGCGGAUUAUUACUAAUUGCUCCAACACCUGGAACCUCGUUAUUCACAUGGGGGCUCAUUUCUGUUUUGACUGCCUUUGAGUCAUGCAAAUUCUGCACCGUGAGCUUUGGUCCAGCAGUUUGCUUGGGAUAGUUCUUCAGGCCCUCUGCAGAUGAACAGGCAAAAUAGUAAACAUUUAAACUAUCUCACGGAUCAAUGGGCAAAGCAGGGUCACUAUCAUCACAAAUGUUUCAGUUGUUAUGAUUUGCUGUUAUCAGCAGCAAAUAUGAUGAAGCCCUAAAGGUGGCAUACGAUGUUUAGCUCCACACUGUUUGCAUCACAACCAAUUUGUACAUGUUCAAGCUCACAGUCCGCAUCUCUCACUAGUUCAGACAUUGGAUUACAACCAAAUUUGCAUGAUAUUAGCUGAGUUUUUGGCUCAGCUGGAGUUUGAACAUAGUUUCUAUUCAUGUAGAUGUUUCUUAUGAAGUACUAAAUCCGUACCAAAAUAUAAACAUGUUUGUAGGCUAGCCUACACAAAUGUUUAUAUUUUGGUAUGGAGGUAAUACAAUAGAUCAUGCAUUAUGGCUUAACUUUUUGGAAGAAACCAAAAUGCUAUGCUUAGUUCUACCAUAUUCAUGAGAAUCACUAAUCAAAACUGUUUUAUGGAAACUAAAUACAACACCUAGUAGGUACUAAAGACGAUUGGUGUAUGUGCAUGCUCCUACCUAUAGGGCCGAGCUUGUUCUUGUGGCUGAACUCAAUUAGAUCCUUCAUGUGAUUCACCACCUCUGAUAUCUGCCAAGAGGACAUAAGAAAUCAACGUGCCAUAAUGCACAUAUACAGAAUAAAACCAUAUAAUGCACGCCAUGUGGAAAAUAUCAAGACUACAAAAUAUUGAACAAAUAGGAAGGUAAAUACUACUUAGGGAACUCCAGUUACCUGCAAACAGCGAACAUAUCUUUUAGAAAGACCAUGUUCAUUUAGGCUGUGGUGAUCAAUAUUUUUCGCUAGUUGACGUGAUGCUGAUGCAAACCUAUAAAUUUCAUACAAAAAAAGAAUUUACAUGUAGUGAUUAGAAUAUCAGAAAUUCAACUCUAGAGAGAAUCAACUACAUAUUUGUGUGACUUUAGUUUUACUAACUCGUUGCAAGCCUUUUGUGCCUCAUCGUUCGAUAGGCCAGCAGGUCCAUUUUUAGUGACAGUAGCUUGAUAACUCUGGGUAGCACGCAGCAUAUGUGUAACCUGAAAAAACAAAAAGCAGGUGCAUAAGAAAUAUAUAGAAGGGUACUAAAGUUAAAGCACAUCUCACAAAGCCACAGAUUAAGAUUUAUAAUUAUGUGGACUGGUUGAAUGCCUGUGCUUUACCACUUCCUACAAAGUAAAAAAUAAAUCCAUUUGGAAGAAAAAUUUAUGAAAAAGACAGGAAGCUUUCAAAUUGCAAAACCAUAAAAUAAUCAUAGUGAUUUAGAACCACAAAACAAGAUGGCAGAGAUGGUUUAGAGAUGUCCCUACUUGUAGCAAGUAAUUUUGGAAGGUGCUAUGGCAAACAUGAGGA